GGGAAGGUGGCUCAGUGGUAGAGCACUUGCCUUGCAUGCCUGAGGUCCUGGGUUUGAUUCCUCGCCACUUCU
rfam:Dipodomys ordii contig_63605, whole genome shotgun sequence.